UUAAGCAGGCUGUGCCAAACUCUGUAGAGUAACCAUUAAGCAUAGUAAAGGAAGUCCUUAUACAGCCUGUUUAUUGAUAUGAAAUAUGAAAUUACUUUACUUAAGGUUGUGAACAUGGCAGAGAAGUUGCUCACUGUAUUUGACCCAAUUGGAAAUGAGGAUGCCUACAACAGGAAAAUUCUGAGGAACUGGCAGUAAAAUGUACAAUAAUUUGGAUAGAUACAUUUUUUCAAGAGAGAAUAAAAAAAAACCCAAUACUUUUAAUGCUGUAAUAGAAACUUCCUGAGGAACAGGUCAAGGGAGGAAUCCAAAUAUGUGUGGACAGUGCACACCAUGGACCACAACAAACAGAUGGAUUUCAGCAGUUGUGGGGUUCUAGUGUUGAAGGUAAUAUUUUACAAGUUUCUGUUUAUGUACUUUGAAGAUUAAGCUAAUAGUAUUUAAUUGUAAAUAUUAUGUAUCUAGAAGAAUGUGUUAUUAUGUAGAUAAUGUAUCAAAUCAAGCACAUAAUUACAUUCAUAAUUCAUUUACAGCACACCGAAGAAUCACUUGUGAGUGGAAACAUAUCUGAUGUGCAGACAACUCCAGAAGCUGUCAGUAAACAAAGGAUGAACAUAGCUUGUAUCUUAAUGAAAAAUAGCUAAAGAAAACCUCAUGUAAAAUCAACCCAAAUAUUCUGUGCUAUAUGUUAUGAUCCUUUCUGUUACUAUUUGUAAAAAUAAAAAUAAUAAAAAACAGUUUGCUGAAAAA